rnacentral:rRNA from 1 species
GACGAACGCUGGCGGCGUGCUUAACACAUGCAAGUCGAACGGUGAAAGCGGAGCUUGCUCCGCUGGAUCAGUGGCGAACGGGUGAGUAACACGUGGGCAACCUGCCCCUCACUUCGGGAUAACUCCGGGAAACCGGGGCCAAUACCGGAUAUGACCUCCUUGGGCAUCCUGGGAGGGGGAAAGGUUUUCGGUGAGGGGUGGGCCCGCGGCCUAUCAGCUUGUUGGGGAGGUAGUGGCUCACCAAGGCGACGCCGGGUAGCCGGCCUGAGAGGGCGACCGGCCACACUGGGACUGAGAUACGGCCCAGACUCCUACGGGAGGCAGCAGUGGGGAAUAUUGCGCAAUGGGCGAAAGCCUGACGCAGCAACGCCGCGUGCGGGAUGACGGCCUUCGGGUUGUAAACCGCUUUCAGCAGGGAAGAAGCCGCAAGGUGACGGUACCUGCAGAAGAAGCACCGGCUAACUACGUGCCAGCCGCCGCCGUAA